CGGACAGACUGUGACUUUGCACUGUGAGUAUUCUGAACUGUGCGGUGGAGUGCGCAAGGUCCUGUAAACAUCAGACUCUUCCAACUUUGAUGCUCAGAUGAGCACUUCAUUCCACUUGUUGUCUGGUGUCGGGGUUUCGCCCCCCCCCCCCCACCUUUUGGGGUGUUGCUGCUACGGAGCACACCAGGCUUCCUCAGUCACGUUGACUCAUUGGAUUUCGUCCGGAGCAAAAACGUGACCAGUUCCAAACAUAGGAAGCUGCCUUGUGAUGAAUCAGGCCAUUGGCUCAUCUAGCUCCAAUUGGCAGCUGCUCUCAGGGGUUUCAGACAGGAGUUUCCCCAAGCCCCACCUUGGGAGGUGGUGGACUCUCCUUCCUUGGGGGUUUUCAAGCAGGGGUUGGGUGUCCAUCUGUCAUGGAUGCUUUAGUUGAGAUUCCCACAUUGCAGGGGGUUGGACUAGAUGACCCUCAGGGUCCCUUCAAGCUCUUCGAUUCUAUGUGCCCCACUCACCCUAUGGAGCUCCUCAUAGGUUCAUUGCUGGUGAAUUAGGGGUGGCUCCAGCCUUGAUGCUGCCCAUCCACAGCAGCUGGUCAACAGACUCAGCAAGCACACAGUUCACCUGGUGUCCUCCUCACUGUGUUUCAUAUUUUUAUUCACAUUACAGUACUUAUUUGUGUGUUUGUGUGUGUUGUACAUAAAUUAUACCUAUAGAUCUGUACGGUAGCUCAGCUGGUAGAGCAUAAGACUAUCUCAGGGUCAUGGGUUCAUAUAUAAAAACAUAAUAAAACAUUAAAUAUAAAAAAAGAAACUUCCCCAUACAGGGCAUCCUUCAGGUGUCUUCUAAAUUUGUAUACAGUGGUACCUCGGGUCACAUGCAUCAGGUUACAGACACUUCAGGUUACAGACUCCGCUAACCCAGAAAUAGUACCUUGGGUUAAGAACUUCAGGCUGAGAACAGAAGUUGUGCUCCAGCGGCACGGCGGCAGUGGGAGGCCCCAUCAGCUAAAGUGGUGCUUCAGGUUAAGAACAGUUUCAGGUUAAGAAUGGACCUCCGGAACGAAUUAAGUACUUAACCCAAGGUACCACUAUAGUUACAUAUCUCCUUGGUUUGGGGGAGGUCACACAACUCCACACCCUCCAACAUUUGUCUGAUGAAAAGAGGGAUAUCCUAAGGAAAAAUGGAACAUUUUGGGAUCAAAUCAGAAACUAGGACUGUCCCUGGAAAAGAGGUAGACUUGGAGGGUCUGCCACAUUUAGGGCCUGGUCUUGAGGCUCCUUAUUCCUGGUCGGCCAGGCCCUCAGCCACCCAAAGUCCUAAGUACGCAUCUCAGGCUGGUCCUCUAAUGCUCUUCCUUCAGCUUCUGUUUGGGCCCCAUCUUCCCCCAGGGGAGAUGUUAGCGUUGCCUCCCUGUAGUGGGGGAGAGAUGGCCUUGGAAGAACGGGCUGUACUGUCUGAGUCUUUCUACUGUGACUCUCGGCAGAGAUCAUCCGUCAGGCGAGAGAGGCCUGGUGGUGAGGAGGAGUGAUGGGGCCUUCGUUGUGAGUCAAUCUUUGGCUUGGUGCCUCGUGCUCAUUCCUCCCUUGUUUGUUGUUUCUCUAACAACGCAGACAAAUUCCGUGUGCUCCAAAAUUGCGUUGCAACAAAAAUUAAGGAAGAAUUCAAAAGAGGAUUCCCGAGUUCUUUGGUAAUUGGAAAACGGACAGGGUGGGGCAGGAGAUGAGGAACAAGAGCUCACCGGAAAGCAAUCUGGAUUGGGGGCAUGUGUUGCUGUUGCAACCUUUUUAUAAAAUAAAAAAUUAAAAUUAAACUUUUUUUUCUGACAAGGAACUCUUGCCUUCUGCAGAUGCAAGCCACGGGCAGAAAUUCAGCAGGUAUAGUGUUGCCCACCCGCCUUGUUCUGAUGAAAGCGUUCCCUGUUGACUUUCUGCCGACAGAAUACAUGCAAUUGCCCUGCCGCUGGGGCUGGAGCAGCAAGGUUACAGCAGGAACAGCCGGCCCUCUGACCCGAAACGAGAUUUAUGGUUGCAACACAGCUUCACGAAAACAAAGCGACACGAACCGUCAGUUAAUAAAUUUUAUUCGCAGAUCAGAGAAUGUUCUCCAGCCAUCCGAGGAAUCAGAAUUUGGCACAGAUGUGCUCCAGUACAGCUGCACCAGCAGCAGCGGACCUAAUUAUCUCUCUAUAUAAAAGUUGAUUGCUAACAUCCAGUCCCACGCUCCCGACAUUCCGUCACACUUCGGUGUGACCAAU